AACUCUUAACAAUGGAUAUCUUGGUUCUCGCAACGAUGAAGAACGCAGCGAAAUGCGAUACGUAGUGUGAAUUGCAGGGCUCAGUGAAUCAUCGAAAUUUUGAACGCAUAUUGCGCUUAUGGUCACCAUAAGCACGUCUGUUUGAG
rnacentral:rRNA from 15 species